AUGAGAGUUCUUGGCAGGCGGCACCGAGGCACCAGAACCAGGCACAGACCCCACGUUGCAACUGGAGAAACAUUUCUGUGGCCACCCAAAAAAAACCCCAGAAGGCCAAUAGCAGCAGGAGAGAGAUAUCAGUGCAGCCUGGAAACUGUGGGCACUGUCCUGAGAAUAGUGAAAUAGGGAACUGACUCAGCAUGAGAAGGUUAUAGAAUCUGAACCCCCUCUACCCAGGAAAUAUAAACACUUGGCCACUCUAUAGAUGAGACUUUAGCAUGACUCUUCAGGUAAUUUUUAAAUUUAAAUGCUGAUGUUUGUUUUACUUUGUGAUGACAUUAGUGCUAUCAUUGUUUGUCCCUGAAUUUAGUGUCUCUGCAUUUAAUGUAUCUGCAUUUAGUGUAUAUCACUGAAGGAGUUUCACUUUGGAGGUUCCUGUUUUGUGAACCCCAGAAGACUGGCAGCUGCUGAAUUAUCAAACCAGACAGGAUCAUGAUGCACAGAAAUGUCAAUUUACCAACAAUUUCAGGUGGUUAAGAGUAAAUUACCUUUGAAAAUAAGGGAAGGCAAAGGCACUCAGGUACCUGAUUUUAUCUCUGUGCCACUCUGAAGUGGCAGGAGUUUGUCCAUUACCAUGUAGUGCCUCCCAUGCACAUAUCAACCUCACUGACAUCUUGUUCAUUCAAGGCUGGGAAGAAAAGUCGUGCUUCACAUUUUUGCCCACACAGAUUCCUGGAGGGGUGAUUCCUGUUGUGUUUGAAUCCUACUAGCAGGCUUAUCCUGUGGAAUACAGACAAGCUUGACCUUCAGAACAGUUCUCCAGCCAGCCUUGAGGGAUGCUGUAAGCAUGACCUCAAAGGAUGGACAAAAUUUUUCUUUAUCACAUUCUUUGGUUCAGGCAGCUGUAAUCUCCCUAAAUUUGCCUUUAGGCAUCUACUGGCUCUUAUAAUUCAAUGCCAAACCAUCUCUUAAGUUUCACCUUAUGUCAUCUUUCAUUAUAAUCUAAAUCAGCUGCCACUUCUUUUCCCAGUACCAC
rnacentral:lncRNA from 1 species